CACGCAUCACGUGUUGCUUUAUUUUAUUUAUAGAUUCAUUUUUGUUGAUAAAUAAAUUCGUUUAUUACUUUUAUUAGUUAUGGAAGUUAAAAGUGAAAUUAAGAAAGAAUUUACUGAAUGUGACCAAAAAUCAGAAAGUCAUCUGUUUACAUCAGUAGAUCUCCAUAACUUAAAAAAUGAACCAAAAGAAGAUCACCCAGCUAUGGAAAUUAAAGUUGAAAAAGAAGAGUUUCCAGAAUGUGAUCAUGAAGAUAUAGAUAAUCUAUCCACAUCAAUAGAUUUUCAAGAUUUGAAGGAUGAACCAGAAGCAGAGGAAAAUCAACCAGGUUGCUUACGCAGUAAGAACGUAAUGAAAAUUAUGAAACCACCUGAACAUUCAUCUCAUAAAAAAGAAGCUUUGGGUAGAUACGUUGAAGAAAAAACAUUAAGUAACAACAUAAAAGUUCAACCGGGUAAUGGACCUUACACAUGUGCAAUUUGUUUAAAACAAUUUACUGGAGUAUAUAAUCUGAAAUUACAUAUGAUGACUCACACUGGACAAAAGCCUCACAAGUGCAAAAUUUGUUUUAAGCAAUUUAGUCAACCCGGUAAUUUGAAAUCACAUAUGAUGAUUCACACUGGAGAAAAACGUCAUAAAUGUGAAAUUUGUUUUCGGUCAUUUACUCAACCCAGUCAUUUGAAAUCACAUAGUAUGACUCACACUGGAAAAAAGCCUCAUAAGUGCGAAAUUUGUUUUAAGCAGUUUGCUCGAGUCGGUCAUUUGAAAUCACAUUUAAUAAUUCACACUGGAGAAAAAGGUCAUAAAUGUGAAAUUUGUUUUAAGCAGUUUACUCAACCCGCUAAUUUGAAAUCUCAUAUGAUGACUCACACUGGAGAAAAGCCUUAUAAGUGCGAAAUCUGUUUUAAUCAGUUUACUCGAGUCCGUGAUUUGAAAUCACAUAUGAUGUUUCACACUGGAGAAAAGCCUUACAAGUGUGAUAUUUGUUUGAAACAGUUUAGUGUUGCAUUUACUCUGAAAUCACAUAUGAUGAUUCACACUGGAGAAAAACCUUACAAGUGUGAAAUUUGUUUCAAGCAGUUUACUCGAGUCGGUCAUUUGAAAUUACAUUUGAUGAUUCACACUGGAGAAAAACGUCAUAAAUGUGAAAUCUGUUUUAAGCAGUUUACUCAAUCCGCUAAUUUGAAAUUACAUAUGAUGACUCACACUGGAGAAAAGCCUCAUAAGUGCGAAAUCUGUUUUAAGCAGUUUACUCGAGUCGGUGAUUUGAAACCACAUAUGAUGACUCACACUGGAGAAAAACCUCAUACGUGUGAAAUUUGUUUGAAACAACUUACUGCAGCAUGUAGUCUGAAAUCACAUGAUGACUCCCACGGGAGAACAACCUCAUAAGUGUGAAAUUUGUUUGAAACAAUUUAUUGCAGCAAGUACUUUGAAAAGACAUUUGAGAGUGCAUACUGGAGAAAAGCUUUACAAGUGCGAAAUUUGUUUUAAGCAGUUUACUCGAGCUGGUCCUUUGAAACCACACAUGAUGACUCAUAUUGGAAAAACCUCACAGAUGUGAAACUUGUGUGAAAUAAUUUAUUUGUGCAGGAAAUUUGAGAGCACACACUGGAGAAAAGCCUUAAAAAUGUGAUAUUUCUUUUAAUCAAUUUAGUGUAUUUGUUUAAUUUAAUUUAUUAAUGUUCUGUAUUUUGAGAACGAUUUCCGUGGAAAUCGAAACGUUACAUAAACUUAAUUUGAAAGUAAAAUUGUGACUUAUUCCCAAUAAAAAUAGUAAAUAGCUUUAUAAGGAAGGGUGCAAUUUAGCUUUAUAAGGGUGAAAUAAUAAGAGUACAGGGGAAAACAAGAAAUGUCGCAUUUUAUACAUAUUGAGAUAAACACCAAUAAAGGUUUAAUUCUUAUGAUAUCUAAAAACUAUUUAGGCGAUUCUUAUCAGAAUUCAAGCAAUUCUUAUUCUAUAAUCUUAAUAUAACAGUAAUCUAUAUUAAACUUAUUAAUUUAAUAAUACACCAAAAACUGCUAAUAUUCCUUAUUUUUGUUCAGUUGCGUGCCUAGUUCUUUGCCUGGAUACAAAUUCUUAGAAAAUUUAUAUAUGUAGACUGAUCUUUCUAGUUAUUGUCCUGAAUGGAUGGGCUAGUCGAUAGUAUGUACUUAGUUUUUACUAUCACAUGGCGAGAAAAGUAAAAAUUCAUGAAAAAGUGACAUCCUUUGUUUUUUCCCUGUACUCUUUAAUUUGUUCUCAACAAUUUGCUGUUUAUCACAUAAUGAGUAUAAAAUUUCAAUAAAGUUGCUAAAUAAAA
rnacentral:misc_RNA from 1 species